rnacentral:rRNA from 1 species
UACGAAGGGUGCAAGCGUUACUCGGAAUUACUGGGCGUAAAGCGUGCGUAGGUGGUGAGUUAAGUCUGUCGUGAAAGCCCCGGGCUCAACCUGGGAAUGGCGAUGGAUACUGGCUCGCUAGAGUGCGGUAGAGGAGAGUGGAAUUCCCGGUGUAGCAGUGAAAUGCGUAGAGAUCGGGAGGAACAUCAGUUGCGAAGGCGGCUCUCUGGACCAGCACUGACACUGAGGCGCGAAAGCGUGGGGAGCGAACAGG